rnacentral:rRNA from 1 species
AACGGAGGGGGCAAGUGUUGACUCGUAAGGACUGGGCGUGAAAGGGUUACGUAGGCGGUUUGUAGUAAGUUAGGUGUUGAAAUAGAUAACGGUUCAAACUUAUUUUUGCAUCUAAAACUGACAAUACUGGAGUUUGAUAGAGGAUAAGGGUACUUUUGAUGAAGAGGUAGAAUUCGUAGAUAUCAAUAGGGACCACCAACUGGCGAAGGCGCUUAUCUGGGUCAAACUGACGCUGAGGAACGAAAGCGCGGGGAGCAAACAGG